rnacentral:rRNA from 1 species
GGAACUGAAACAUCUAAGUACCCCGAGGAAAAGAAAUCAACCGAGAUUCCCCCAGUAGCGGCGAGCGAACGGGGAGGAGCCCAGAGCCUGAAUCAGUGUGUGUGUUAGUGGAAGCGUCUGGAAAGGCGCGCGAUACAGGGUGACAGCCCCGUACACAAAAAUGCACAUAUUGUGAGCUCGAUGAGUAGGGCGGGACACGUGGUAUCCUGUCUGAAUAUGGGGGGACCAUCCUCCAAGGCUAAAUACUCCUGACUGACCGAUAGUGAACCAGUACCGUGAGGGAAAGGCGAAAAGAACCCCGGCGAGGGGAGUGAAAAAGAACCUGAAACCGUGUACGUACAAGCAGUGGGAGCCUCUUAAUGGGGUGACUGCGUACCUUUUGUAUAAUGGGUCAGCGACUUAUAUUCUGUAGCAAGGUUAACCGAAUAGGGGAGCCGAAGGGAAACCGAGUCUUAACUGGGCGUUAAGUUGCAGGGUAUAGACCCGAAACCCGGUGAUCUAGCCAUGGGCAGGUUGAAGGUUGGGUAACACUAACUGGAGGACCGAACCGACUAAUGUUGAAAAAUUAGCGGAUGACUUGUGGCUGGGGGUGAAAGGCCAAUCAAACCGGGAGAUAGCUGGUUCUCCCCGAAAGCUAUUUAGGUAGCGCCUCGUGAAUUCAUCUCCGGGGGUAGAGCACUGUUUCGGCAAGGGGGUCAUCCCGACUUACCAACCCGAUGCAAACUGCGAAUACCGGAGAAUGUUAUCACGGGAGACACACGGCGGGUGCUAACGUCCGUCGUGAAGAGGGAAACAACCCAGACCGCCAGCUAAGGUCCCAAAGUCAUGGUUAAGUGGGAAACGAUGUGGGAAGGCCCAGACAGCCAGGAUGUUGGCUUAGAAGCAGCCAUCAUUUAAAGAAAGCGUAAUAGCUCACUGGUCGAGUCGGCCUGCGCGGAAGAUGUAACGGGGCUAAACCAUGCACCGAAGCUGCGGCAGCGACACUAUGUGUUGUUGGGUAGGGGAGCG